GAACGAGAAAGUGGAGCAAUCCAUGAGUAAAGUGGCGACNCGGGUGAGUAACACGUGACUAACCUACCUUCGAAUGGGGGAUAACUCCGGGAAACCGGGGCUAAUACCGGCAAUAAUAUCUUCGGGAUGAAAAGCCGGAGAUCAAAGAAGCAAUUCGCUUGAAGAGGGGGUCGCGGCUGAUUAGUUAGUUGGCGGGGUAACGGCCCACCAAGACGAUGAUCAGUAGCCGGCCUGAGAGGGCGCACGGCCACACUGGAACUGAAACACGGUCCAGACUCCUACGGGAGGCAGCAGUGGGGAAUUUUGCACAAUGGGGGAAACCCUGAUGCAGCAACGCCGCGUGGAGGAUGAAGCCCCUUGGGGCGUAAACUCCUUUCGAUCGGGACGAUAAUGACGGUACCGGAAGAAGAAGCACCGGCUAACUCUGUG
rnacentral:rRNA from 1 species